AACUACAAUGGGACAGGCCAGUGAUUAAAGUAGUGAAGCAUAGCGCAGUAUCUCUCUGGUAACAUACAUUGUGUAUGGAAUGGAGCGUAAAGGGAAAUGAGAUGAACUUUGUACAGCUCACCUUAAUUAAGUCGUGUCCCAGUGGAAAUUAAUGUGAAUGUUAAUAGCAUGUAUAUAUGUUGUCUGAGCUUUCUCUCAGUGCCCACUUCAAGCCACAUGCACCGUGCCGGGUCUGUCAGUUCCGGGUGUUCACAUACAUUCUCCUAUUCAUCCAGCUGGCCGUCACUUUGUAUCUUGCAAGUGGUUAACAGCAAAUUCUAUGGACAAUAGGAGUUACAUCUUAGCACCUUUCCAAACAUCUGCCGGCCAGCACACGACGCUUCAGCCCGACCACAGGCUUCUGAAUUUCACGCUAUUUCAGGGGGUUCCACUGUGUUUUGUUAAAUUAAGACUGUGGAGUACCAUGUUUUUGCCGGCCCCUAGUUUUACUUUGGUUUGUAGCCCCCCUGAGCAGUGAAGAGCGGAGACGCACCCAGCGGAGGCCCCUGGAAACCGUUAAGGCCGGGGACGUUCUUCGGAGGGGAGACGCUCUAUCGCGCCGGUCGCGUCGGAUGCAAAGCGACCCGUUUGAAUUGGCACAAUUACUUAACUUAUCGAUGAAUCCCACAGUGCGGCGAGAAGGAAAAGCGCGUAACAAACUGUACUUUAAAGUGUAAUUUAAGUCCCUAAUUCAGAUCCGGAGUCCGCACGUCAAACUGUCAGAGCCCCGGGCCGUCCCUAACGAGGCCGGCUGCGCUAAGGAGGCAACGACUCCCAGGUGCCGCGGGGCCGCGGCCGGCUGCGCUAAGGAGGCAACGACUCCCAGGUGCCGCGGGGCCG
ensembl:lncRNA